AUAAAGAUGAAAAAAAAUCUUUAGCAUUAUGGAGUAUAAACACUGCCUAUAUAUAAAUGAAGCGAAAGAAGCUUAAACAGACACAUUUUCACAAUCUCAAAUAUUAGAUCAAUGGCAAAGCUUUGCAUCACAAAAUCUCUUUGUGCUAUCGUGUUUCUUCUCUCAGUUUAUGUAAUCGAGGGCAAAGACUGUAACGAAGGGCUGCCGUGGGUGACAACGCAUUGCCGAGGCGAGGUGGCGCAGGGCAACUGCUGGGUAGCGUGUCAACAAAGGCACGGUAUGGAUGUCAAAGCCAGCUGUAGAGACAUUAUUGGUAUACCCACUCAGAUUUGUUGGUGUACUUGGCCCUGUUAAAAUUAAUGAUUAAGAUUUAAUAUAUCGAAAUUCGAUAUCGAUUGCACAGAAAUGUGAGUUUUAUGUAGAUGGUGUGAUUGUACGUUUCUUGAGUUUUAUUUGAAAUAAUGAUUUGAGCCUUGAUGAUGGUUUGAA